GUAGGAGCCUUUGAAACGUGAGCGCUAGCUUACGUGGAGGCGCUGGUGGGAUACUACCCUAGCUGUGUUGGCUUUCUAACCCGCACCACUUAUCGUUGUGGGAGACAGUGUCAGGCGGGCAGUUUGACUGGGGCGGUCGCCUCCUAAAAGGUAACGGAGGCGCUCAAAGGUUCCCUCAGAAUGGUUGGAAAUCAUUCAUAGAGUGUAAAGGCAUAAGGGAGCUUGACUGCGAGACCUACAAGUCGAGCAGGGUCGAAAGACGGACUUAGUGAUCCGGUGGUUCCGCAUGGAAGGGCCAUCGCUCAACGGAUAAAAGCUACCCCGGGGAUAACAGGCUUAUCUCCCCCAAGAGUUCACAUCGACGGGGAGGUUUGGCACCUCGAUGUCGGCUCAUCGCAUCCUGGGGCUGUAGUCGGUCCCAAG
rnacentral:rRNA from 1 species